CGGAGCCGCACGGUAGUAGAUGGGGGUGUGGCCGUGGCCCCCGACUCUGCUCGGCGGGGCCGUUCCUGCUUUGCCAUCCGUGUGGGACUUCCACGACAGUGGAGGCACGAGAGCUGGGCCCCAUAUGCUGCUUGCCCAGCUUGGGAAAGAGGAGGCUGCUGCAAAGGACCGAUCGGCGGUUCGGGCUGCCGGCUCACUCGGCUGCUGCGUCUGGUCUGGCGUCUGCUGAGAAGAUCCUCUUCUACCCUGCUCUGCACCUGUGCUCGACUGCCAGCCGGCUGAGGGCGGGGGUCUCCACGGUGGUCCCAGCUCCCAAGGAGGUUGCAGAAUACCGUACAGAGUGGAUUUGCAGGGCAGUGGCAUGGAGCCCCUCUUCCC
rnacentral:lncRNA from 1 species